rnacentral:rRNA from 1 species
AACGAACGCUGGCGGCAUGCCUAACACAUGCAAGUCGAACGAGACCUUCGUUUCUUGUUGCUCACGUUUUCGUAACGCCUUGUAACCUUCCCUUAUGUUCGGUAUCACUCCCCUUAAGGUGUGCUAAUACCGGUUAAUUUCUUCUGACCAAAGAUUUAUCGCCUUUGGAUGGGCCCGCGUUGGAUUAGCUAGUUGGUAGGGUAAAAGCCUACCAAGGCGACGAUCAAUAGCUGGUCUGAGAGGAUGAUCAGCCACACUGGGACUGAGACACGGACCAGACUAGUACGGGAGGGAGGAGAGGGGAAUAUAGGAAAAUGGGGGAAAGGAAGAAAAAGAAAGGGCGGGUGAGUGAAGAAGGGAUUAGGGAAGAAAAGCGAAAUUAGAAGGGAAGAUAAUGACAGUAACGGGAGAAUAAGCAACGGCUAACUACGUG